UGAUUUUAUAGCCAAACUUACCGCGAGGUGAGGUCGGAAAGCCACGGAUCUUCGGGCUUUAUUUGAAGAUGGCCGGGUUGCAUUG
rnacentral:ncRNA from 1 species